AGAACUGUACAGCCCAAGAACAGGCCAUUCGCUCCACCAUGUCUGUGCUGAACAUGAUGCCAAGA